CCAGCCGCCGCGGUAACACCGGCGGCCCGAGUGGUGAUCGUGAUUAUUGGGUCUAAAGGGUCCGUAGCCGGUUUGGUCAGUCCUCCGGGAAAUCUGAUAGCUCAACUAUUAGGCUUUCGGGGGAUACUGCCAGACUUGGAACCGGGAGAGGUAAGAGGUACCUACAGGGGUAGGAGUGAAAUCUUGUAAUCCCUGUGGGACCACCUGUGGCGAAGGCGUCUUACCAGAACGGGUUCGACGGUGAGGGACGAAGCGUGGGGGCACGAACCGGAUUAGAUACCCGGGUAGUCCCAGCCGUAAACGAUGCUCGCUAGGUGUCAGGCAUGGCGCGACCGUGUCUGGUGCCGCAGGGAAGCCGUGAAGCGAGCCACCUGGGAAGUACGGCCGCAAGGCUGAAACUUAAAGGAAUUGGGCGGGGGAGCACAACAACGGGUGGAACGCCUGCGGUUUAAUUGGACUCAACGCCGGACAACUCACCGGGGGCGACAGCAAUAUGUAGGCCAAGCUGAAGACUUUGCCUGAAUCGCUGAGAGGAGGUGCAUGG
rnacentral:rRNA from 1 species